rnacentral:rRNA from 1 species
UACGGAGGGGGCUAGCGUUGUUCGGAAUUACUGGGCGUAAAGGGCUCGUAGGCGGUUUGUCGCGUCGGGAGUGAAAACUCAGGGCUCAACCCUGAGCGUGCUUCCGAUACGGGCAGACUAGAGGUAUUCAGGGGAGAACGGAAUUCCUGGUGUAGCGGUGGAAUGCGCAGAUAUCAGGAGGAACACCGGUGGCGAAGGCGGUUCUCUGGGAAUUACCUGACGCUGAGGAGCGAAAGCAUGGGGAGCGAACAGG